rnacentral:misc_RNA from 1 species
AACGCACAUUGCACCCUCUGGUUUUCCGGAGGGUAUGCCUGUUUGAGUAUCAUUAAUAUCUCAACACAGACAGGAUCACUAUCUGUUCUGCUGUUUGGAUGUUGAAGGCCUGCUAGAGUCAAUUAGCUCCUUUGAAAUGAAUUAGCCGAAACCAUGCAUCAAAUUGGCUUCAGUAUGAUAAGCAUUUAUCUCUAUUACUGUUGCUAGUGAAUAAGCAAGACUUGUUUCAGCUUCUAACUGCUCUUUGGCUGUCUCCUUUGAGGCAUAUAUUUGAUACUUGAUCUCAAAUCAGGUAGGACUACCCGCUGAACUUAA